rnacentral:rRNA from 1 species
GAUGAACGCUGGCGGCGUGCCUAAUACAUGCAAGUCGAGCGAACAGACGAGGAGCUUGCUCCUCUGACGUUAGCGGCGGACGGGUGAGUAACACGUGGAUAACCUACCUAUAAGACUGGGAUAACUUCGGGAAACCGGAGCUAAUACCGGAUAACAUGUUGAACCGCAUGGUUCAACAGUGAAAGACGGUCUUGCUGUCACUUAUAGAUGGAUCCGCGCCGCAUUAGCUAGUUGGUAAGGUAACGGCUUACCAAGGCAACGAUGCGUAGCCGACCUGAGAGGGUGAUCGGACACACUGGAACUGAGACACGGUCCAGACUCCUACGGGAGGCAGCAGUAGGGAAUCUUCCGCAAUGGGCGAAAGCCUGACGGAGCAACGCCGCGUGAGUGAUGAAGGUCUUCGGAUCGUAAAACUCUGUUAUUAGGGAAGAACAAAUGUGUAAGUAACUAUGCACAUCUUGACGGUACCUAAUCAGAAAGCCACGGCUAACUACGUG